rnacentral:rRNA from 1 species
UACGUAGGGUGCAAGCGUUGUCCGGAAUUAUUGGGCGUAAAGAGCUCGUAGGCGGCUUGUCGCGUCGACUGUGAAAACCCGUGGCUCAACCAUGUGGUCUGCAGUCGAUACGGGCAGGCUAGAAUUCGGUAGGGGAGACUGGAAUUCCUGGUGUAGCGGUGAAAUGCGCAGAUAUCAGGAGGAACACCGGUGGCGAAGGCGGGUCUCUGGGCCGAUAUUGACGCUGAGGAGCGAAAGCGUGGGGAGCGAACAGG